UACGAAGGGGGCUAGCGUUGUUCGGAAUUACUGGGCGUAAAGGGUUCGUAGGUGGCCAACUCAGUCAGACGUGAAAUCCCUCAGCUCAACUGGGGGAACUGCGUCUGAUACUAGAUGGCUCGAGUGCAGGAGAGGAACGCGGAAUUCCAGGUGUAGCGGUGAAAUGCGUAGAUAUCUGGAGGAACACCGGUGGCGAAGGCGGCGUUCUGGACUGCAACUGACACUGAGGAACGAAAGCCCAGGGGAGCAAACGGG
rnacentral:rRNA from 1 species